AGGUUGCAUGACUGCUCUUUCGGAGCAUUCUUCCGUGACGAAGCGCAACAUGCCGAAGCGAUCUAC
rnacentral:sRNA from 1 species